UAAUACUCCAUAGAUUAGAGACACUGGAAUGUUCUUUAGUCGAAAGUUCUGGCGCCUUAGGAUGGAUCUGCGGUCGAUUAGGUUGUUGUUGGGGUAACGGCCCAACAAGCCUGUAAUCGAUACGGGUUGUGGGAGCAAGAGCCCGGAGAUGGAAUCUGAGACACGAUUCCAGGCCCUACGGGGCGCAGCAGGCGCGAAAACUUUACAAUGCAGGAAACUGUGAUAAGGGAACUCCGAGUGCCCGUAUACGCGGGCUGUCCAGGUGUUUAAAAAUCAUCUGAAGAAAGGGCCGGGCAAGACCGGUGCCAGCCGCCGCGGUAAUACCGGCGGCUCGAGUGGUGGCCACUAUUAUUGGGCUUAAAGCGUCCGUAGCUGGACCGAUAAGUCUCUUGGGAAAUCCGCCGGCUCAACCGGCGGGCGUCUAAGGGAUACUGUUAGUCUAGGGACCGGGAGAGGUGAGAGGUACUCCGGGGGUAGGAGUGAAAUCCUGUAAUCCCCGGGGGACCACCGAUGGCGAAGGCAUCUCACCAGAACGGCUCCUACAGUGAGGGACGAAAGCUGGGGGAGCGAACCGGAUUAGAUACCCGGGUAGUCCCAGCCGUAAACUAUGCGCGUUAGGUGU
rnacentral:rRNA from 1 species